AACAAACGCUGGCGGCGUGCCUAACACAUGCAAGUCGUACGAGAAAGUCGGCUUCGGCCGAUGAGUACAGUGGCGCACGGGUGAGUAGCGCGUGGGUAAUCUGCCCCUCGGUCAGGAAUAACCCGCCGAAAGGCGGGCUAAUACCCGAUAACACUGACGCUCUGCGGAGUGUCUUUCAAAGAAGGCCUCUGUUUACAAGCUUUCGCCGGAGGAUGAGCCCGCGUACCAUUAGCUAGUUGGCAGGGUAAUGGCCUACCAAGGCAACGAUGGUUAGCUGGUCUGAGAGGAUGGCCAGCCACACUGGAACUGAGACACGGUCCAGACUCCUACGGGAGGCAGCAGUGAGGAAUCUUGCGCAAUGGGGGAAACCCUGACGCAGCAACGCCGCGUGAGUGAGGAAGGCUUUCGGGUCGUAAAGCUCUGUCAGAUGGGAAGAAAUGGAUGGAAGCCAAUACCUUUCAUUCUUGACGGUACCAUCAGAGGAAGCACCGGCUAACUCCGUGCCAGCCGCCGCGGUAA
rnacentral:rRNA from 1 species